rnacentral:rRNA from 1 species
CCUACGGGGGGCUGCAGUGGGGAAUAUUGCACAAUGGGCGCAAGCCUGAUGCAGCCAUGCCGCGUGUGUGAAGAAGGCCUUCGGGUUGUAAAGCACUUUCAGCGGGGAGGAAGGCGGUGAGGUUAAUAACCUCAUCGAUUGACGUUACCCGCAGAAGAAGCACCGGCUAACUCCGUGCCAGCAGCCGCGGUGAUACGGAGGGUGCAAGCGUUAAUCGGAAUUACUGGGCGUAAAGCGCACGCAGGCGGUCUGUCAAGUCGGAUGUGAAAUCCCCGGGCUCAACCUGGGAACUGCAUUCGAAACUGGCAGGCUAGAGUCUUGUAGAGGGGGGUAGAAUUCCAGGUGUAGCGGUGAAAUGCGUAGAGAUCUGGAGGAAUACCAGUGGCGAAGGCGGCCCCCUGGACAAAGACUGACGCUCAGGUGCGAAAGCGUGGGGAGCAAACAGGAUUAGAUACCCUUGUAGUC